rnacentral:tRNA from 1 species
UUUAAAGUGGCAGAAACGCAUAUGCGUUGGAUUUAAGCUCCAAAGAUGGGGGACCCCUUUAAAA